rnacentral:lncRNA from 1 species
UUUUAAUGAAUUAGGGAAUCCAUCGACCUGUCAAAGUUAAAUCACGUGAUCUUUGGUUGGCACACAAAACCGUUCUUAACCUAAACUCAAUGUAAUUUUUGAUUUUUCGUAUUUGUUUUUCGUCGUGAUUUUUUAGCUAAUUUAGUAUUAAAAGACAUUCAUUAGAUUAAUUAGUUUAUAAACUUUACGUUUUUGGUGAUUUUGGCCCGGUCUUUUCACCUCCGAAUAAAUAUGCUCUUAUCUGGCAGUUAGCUAUCUGGAGGAUAAAUAUUUAUUCGCCAGAUAAAAUGUACCCGUCUUUUCACGUCAAUUUAUGUUCCAGUUAGUUAUCCGGUAGAUAAGCUUAAAACAUGAUUUCAGCUUUAACUUAACCUAACAUAAUUAGAUUCAAAGUAUUUCAAAGAUGAUUUUAUCGAUUUUAUUUCCAUUUUGGAAGAAGGAAUGAAGGAAAUAAGGAAAACAUUGAUUAUGCUGAAAUAGUUUACUGGAGAGCUUGAACAAGAGGUAAAUCCAUUUUAAAUUAGAGGAAAACUGUUGAUUUGUAUGUAAAAUAGAAGACAAAGACAAGUUUAAAUAAAGACAAGCUAGCUAAUGAAACAGAUGCAGUGAUAUGACAAACACCUAGAAGAUGGAAUCCUGUGUUCUCAAAGAAAAAGCUAGUUCCAGAAAUAAGCUACCAAUAAUAAACUAGAGAAUGUAUUACAAGAAAGAACAACGCUAAUACCCAACAUAGCUCAAUUGCUUCAGAUAGAAAAAGAGGAGGAAAGGGUAGAACACAAGCGUGCCAGAGAAAAUUAAAGGGCAGAAGAGACACAAAAAUUCAUUGAUUUAUUAAAUUUAAUAAUUAAAUUAUACAAAGGACAAUUAAAUAAAGAAUAAAAAAUUA